UUUCCUCCAUCAUUCGAAGAUAUUUUUGGUGACGACCUCCAGCCUCAACAUUCGACACGAUCCGGAUCAUCCUCAUACCACCCGGAGUUCCAUCCCGAAGCAUGUACACCUACCACUGAGGAUAUUUUUCCAUCGGCACAUUCGGUCACCCAAUACCAAUUAAGUCCCGAUUAUGGUGUAUAUGAUUAUUCUACCUUUCUAACUACACCGGAUGGGACACCGGAAGCCGGACCGAGCAAUUAUCAAACGCUUCAACAAGGUGCACGGCAUCGCCAACGGAGGCAUCCGGACUGUUACACGUCAGCGCUGGGGAUGUCACCGGGAUUGCGACAAUUUUAAUUUUUUAUUGUUAAUUUUUACUUAAUUUAAAAUUAUUAUGUAAAUAUUUCUUUUAUUUUUA
rnacentral:lncRNA from 1 species